CAGCAGCCGCGGGGAAUACGGAGGGUGCAAGCGUUAUCCGGAUUUAUUGGGUUUAAAGGGUCCGUAGGCGGAUCUGUAAGUCAGUGGUGAAAUCUCACAGCUUAACUGUGAAACUGCCAUUGAUACUGCAGGUCUUGAGUAAAUUUGAAGUGGCUGGAAUAAGUAGUGUAGCGGUGAAAUGCAUAGAUUUUACUUAGAACACCAAUUGCGAAGGCAGGUCACUAAGAUUUAACUGACGCUGAUGGACGAAAGCGUGGGGAGCGAACAGGAUUAGAUACCCGGGUAGUCCCUGUCUCUUAUU
rnacentral:rRNA from 1 species